rnacentral:rRNA from 1 species
UAAUACGGAGGUGGCUAGCGUUACUCGGAAUUAUUGGGUGUAAAGGGCAAGUAGGCGGCCUGGUAAGUGGGGGGUGAAAUACUCCGGCUCAAUCGGAGAACAGCCUUCCAAACUGCCUGGCUUGAGUGUGACAGAGGAAAAUGGAAUUCUCGGUGUAAGGGUGAAAUCUGUAGAUAUCGAGAAGAACACCAGAUGCGAAGGCGAUUUUCUGGGUCACUACUGACGCUAAAUUGCGAAAGCUAGGGGAGCAAACAGAAUUAGAUACUCUGGUAGUCCUAGCCGUAAACGAUGAGCACUAGGUGUCGGGUCUUUCGGGAUUCGGUGCCGCAGCUAACGCAUUAAGUGCUCCACCUGGGGACUACGGUCGCAAGGCUA